rnacentral:lncRNA from 1 species
UCCUUUUCCCUUGAAUAUUUCACUGCUUCUACUAAUGGUAUCACAGGAAAAAUACCAACUAACUUAAGUAACUUGAGGAACCUGGAGUGGUUAAGCUUGGGAUAUAAUAAGCUUAUCGGUACGAUUCCACCAGAUUUGGGGAACUUGAGGAAAUUGCAAAACUUGAAACUGGACAAUAAUAAUAUAGAUGGAAUUAUACCAAUUAGCCUGUGUAAUAUGGAGAACUUGUUUCUAAUUAGCUUGAGCCAAAAUCAGCUUUCAGGGGAAGUACCAAGUUGCUUUGGAAAUCUUUCUUCUAUAAGAGAACUCUACUUAGAUUCCAAUGCGCUAAUUUCCAGUAUUCCACCAACUUUUUGGAGGAAUAAAGAUAUUUCAGUUGUCAAUUUGUCCUCCAAUUUUCUAAAUGGAUCUCUUGCACUAGAAAUGGGAAACUCAAGGAGUUUGCAGAUAUUACAUUUAUCUGGUAAUCAGUUCUCUGGUCAAAUUCCAAGCACAAUUGGACAACUUCAAAAUUUGGUUAUCCUUUCAUUGUCAAUGAAUAUGUUAGAUAGUCCUAUACCUAAAUCUUUUGAAGAUUUGGUUUCAUUGGAAUACCUGGAUCUAUCCAGAAACAAGCUAUCCAGCAUGAUUCCCAAGUCCUUGAGGAAUCUUAAACAUCUCAUGUAUUUCAAUGUCUCGUACAAUGGGCUCACGGGUGAAAUUCCAGAUGGAGGGUCAUUCGUGAACUUUACAGCUGAAUCAUUCAUGGGUAACCCAGCAUUAUGUGGAGCAUCCCGGUUCCAUGUGAUGCAAUGCAGAGUCAAUAGCCCUAAAAGACCAAAAAAGAAGAGGGUUGUAACUUCUGUUCUUGCAUCAGUUGCCUUAGGAGUUGUAAUGACCACCAUUUUCAUCGUUUGGUUACUGAAAUGCCGAAAAAGGAGUAGGGGACUUCCUCUAGUUGAUAUAUUUGGUCAAGUACAUAGGAGGAUUUCGUACCAUGAUAUUGCUCAAGGGACAAACAACUUUGAUGAAGCAAACUUGAUCGGGAGGGGGAGCCUUGGAUUGGUAUAUAAAGGGACACUUGCAGAUGGAAAGGUUGUGGCAUUCAAGGUAUUCAAUGCAGAAAUGCAACAUGCAUUCAGAAGUUUUGAUGUGGAGUGCCUAGUUCUACGAAGCAUUCGACAUAGGAACCUUGUUAAGGUGAUAAGUAGUUGUGCGAAUUUUGAUUAUAAAGUGUUGGUGCUAGAGUACAUGCCCAAUGAAAACCUUGAUUGUUGGCUUCACUCUCCCGACAAAUAUUUGGAUUUAACUCAAAGAUUAAAGGUGAUGGUUGAUGUGGCUUCUGCUAUGGAGUAUUUACAUGGAGGUCAUUUGUUUGUAGUCGUUCAUUGUGAUUUGAAACCAAGUAACAUACUUUUGGAUCGAGAUAUGGUGGCGAAAGUGAGUGACUUUGGGAUAUCCAAACUUCUAACAGCUGAGACGCUAAUAGCACAUACCAAAACCUUGGGUACUAUUGGCUACAUGGCACCAGGUAAAUGUUACUACCAAGUUAAUUUGAGUAAAUUUUAAACGACGUUAAUUAUUUUCAUUAAUGGGGGGGAUUACAUGAAAUUUCUUGCAGAGUAUGGUUCAGAAGGCAAAAUCUCAACCAAGGGAGAUGUUUAUAGCUUUGGUAUUCUGUUAAUGGAGACUUUUACAAGAAAGAGCCCUGUGGAUGAUCUAUUUGUCGGAGACUUCACCUUGAAAAAAUGGAUAUGCCAAUCAUUACCAAACCAAAUGGUGGAUGUAGUGGACAUUAAUUUAUUUUCACUGGAUGACGAAAAUUUUAUGUUGAAAGAGAGAUGCUUCAAAUCAAUCAUGGAAUUAGCUUUUGAAUGCACAAAUGACUUGCCUGAAGAGAGAAUUAGUAUGGAAGAUGUUAAUGUUCGACUCAAGAAGAUCCUAACUCAAUUUCUGCAAAAUGUAGUGACAAACUAAACGGUAGUGCUGAAGUCUCUAAUGGAAUCAUUUCUUCACGGGCAAAUUGAAAAUAUUCGAAAGAACUUUUAAGAGAUUGAAAAUCUGUCAGUUCAACUGUUUCAGAAAAUUUGUUCUGUGUUUAUUCUUCUUUAUGUACGUAUCAGCUUUCUUCUUUUCCUUUUUUUCUUCUUCCUAGCAUCAAUCUACAACUUAUUGAUAACAUGUGUGUUCAUACAUGAUUAUGUUUCUUUUUUAAACAGAUAAAUCCCCAUAGGAUAAUGGGGCAAGACUCGAAACUUGGUGGAUAAUGGGCCCGCUUCUAUAUCUUUCUCCACACAAAUAGUACUAGGAUUUUUGCGACCUGUAGGGUUCGAACGUCGAACCAUUUGUGUGCACCUAACCUACCAUAUAUGAUUAUAUUUUUUAAUGACGACAAAUCGAUAUUGUUCACAAGAAAUUCAAAUGUUUAUUCAUCUGUAAUCAGUAAGAGAUCUUGUUAACUGAUACCCCUGAAUAAAUUAUCAGUACAUUGGGUGGCUUGAAACUACUUACUACACAAUACAGAAGAAAAUUGCAAUUCCACUAGCACUAGCAUAUUUUAUGAAAUAUUAGCUGAUAGAAGCAGUAGUAAUGCUAAAGGAACAUAUCAAUUAAUAAUACACAAAACACUUACUCUUGUUUAUGUGAGGUGCAUAGAUGAAGCACUUGCCAAAAAUGUGCAUUAGAUGUCCAACUUUUGCCACUGCAAGGAUUAAAGAAGGAAAGGAAACAGUAAGAUUAGCUAGGAACCUAAACUGCUCCUAUAGAAAUGAUAAAAAGAAGCAUAUUAGUUGAGCACUUCACUACAAUUUGACAACUUAACAUCAAGGAGCAAGCCCUGAUCAGGAGUUCAUGAUCGGGAGUUACACCACGAGCACGACUUUAACGUAUGCAAACUAACCAAUACUAUAAGUUCAGAGAAAUGGAAACAACAGAGUGAUUUUUGCACAACAACUGAGAGAAAGAAACAUCUGAGAAACUAGACAGAACAGUACAGACGAAUCCCGCUGGAAACGUAACUAGGAAAUGUAAUUAAAGCACAAAAAGAGUGCCCCAAAUCUAAAUACACUCUUUAUCAUACAGAACGGUAUUGCAUUAAACAAAACUUAGAAUCUUAACCAAAAUUAUACAGGGGAUUGUGGCGAUUUGAAAUCGUAGAACCAGAAAAGCGACUGGUUGAAACAUAAUAACCCCAGGACCAAGAUCUUCCCACUUUCUUCUUCCAUACUUUUCUUUCUUUCUUUAUCUGAUUCGAUUGGAUCUGUAUUUUGCUCUCUUUGUUGACUAAACAAGUCGUAAAUGGGAAAAGCUCCAAACAAUUUGAUCUCCGUUGGACUUCUGUUUCAUUCUUCUUCUUUAUAU